UUGGUCUCCUCAAAUGUGCUCAGCUUCUGCAGGAGAAGUUCCUUCUGCCUUGUCAGGGUGUUGAUGUCCGUGCAGGCCAUGACCUGCUUGGCAGCCGCAGCCCCAUCCAUUUCCGCCUCCACCAGCUUGGACAUGAGGCACUCCUUCUCCUGUUUGACCUGAGUCAUCAUCUUCUGUAGAGAGGUCACUUAACCGCAUCACUGAGACCAGCUUUUCUGAAGAUGGUGGCGUGAUCUCCAGGCAAUGAGGUGGAUUCUGAUGUAGAGGAGGGAGAAACACAUGAACUCAGAAGGCAGAACCUUGACCACGAGUUCCACCACUGGAGGCUUAUUUACUGAUUAGACGGGAAAAGCUGUAACAGCUAACUCGGGGACCCCAGGAAGAACAUACUCUGAACCCUUGUGAUGGAACAUUACCUAUCCAUGUUUAAAUGAUGGUUUUGGAGAAUUCCCAACAUCAAAAUUAAAAGCUUGGGCUACAAUGUUAAGUUUAAAAUAAAGAACAUAGGCUGGAUACCCUGUAAAACCAGUAUAUUGGGAGGCCGAGGCGGGAAGCCAAAACCAGCCUCAGCAACAUAGCGAGACCUUGUCUCUAUAAAAGUAAAAGAAUUAGCUAGCGCUGGGCAUGGUGGCUCACAUCUGCAAUCCCAGCGCUUUGGGAGGCUGAGGCGGGUGGAUGACCAGAGGUCAGGAGAUCGAGACCAUCCUGGCUAACAC
rnacentral:lncRNA from 1 species